GUGCCAGCAGCCGCGGUAACACGGGGGGAGCAAGCGUUGUUCGGAAUCACUGGGCGUAAAGGGCGUGUAGGCGGUCAGGUAAGUGAGACGUGAAAUGCCCCGGCUUACCCGGGGACCUGCGUCUCAUACUGCUUGGCUUGAGUACGGGAGAGGGUGUGGGAAUUCCUGGUGUAGCGGUGAAAUGCGUAGAUAUCAGGAGGAACACCGGUGGCGAAGGCGCACACCUGGCCCGAUACUGACGCUGAGGCGCGAAAGCUAGGGGAGCAAACGGGAUUAGAUACCCCUGUAGUCC
rnacentral:rRNA from 1 species